rnacentral:lncRNA from 1 species
AUGCACCUGAUUUCUCUGUCCCCUCACACCCGCUUGCUUCCAUUGCUCCCACCAUGGCAGUGCCCAUCUGCUCCUCCCCGCUCACUCAGGUCUGCUGCUCGGGACGCCUUUGUGUCCCCAGGUGCUGAUGGAGCUCCAGGAGCUGUCCGUGGUCCUGAAACUAUGCCGGCCGAGGCUCCGGCUGUGACUGGGCGAAUGAGCGCUGUCCGUAGUGCUGAAGAGGUUCCUGGGCCCCGGCAGUGGCGGCAGCGGUGCCUGGGAGGCCGGCAGCCGGAAGACCACCAGGUAAGGAAUCCUGGCGGAGGCUACGCUUGCAGCAGCUGCUGGUGCUCCCACAAGCAGCGAUUCUCUGCGCUCAGCUCCGUCCAACCGCCGCUCCAGCUUGUCGAUGCUCUGGCUCUGGGUGAGGACAAGGCUCUGCUGGUUCUUUUUGGUUCUUUUUCUGUUUUCUUUUGACAGAGUCUCGUUCUGCUGCCAGCCUGGAGUGCAGUGGCACGAUCUCAGCUCACUGUAACCUCUGCGUCCCAGGUUCAAGAGAUUCUUCUGACUCAGCCUCCCGAGUAGCUGAGACUACGGGUGCGUGCCACCAUUACCAGUUAAAUUUUGUAUUUUUAGUAGAGACGGGGUUUCACCGUGUUGGCCAGGAUGGUCUCGAUCUCUUGACCCCGUGAUCCACCCUACUAGGUCUCCCAAAGUGUUAGGAUUACAGGCUCGAGUCACCGCGCCCGACGAGGCUCUGCUCCUUCUGCACGAUGGCCCUGAACUCUUUGAGGUAGAGCCCGGCGCACCAGAUUCUACGGCAGCCUCUCCAAGCCGCCCACCCGCCUGUGCCCUGUGUGCGCGGGUGGCGGGGAACUUGAAGGAGCGGGAUCCUAGCAGCCCAGCGUUUGGCUUGCUUCCUUCUCCCCCGGACCUUACUUCCCUCCCGCCGCUGGCGCCACGUCACCUCCACCCUGGCCUUCACACACCCACCGUGGGGUGGUGCCAAGACACAGGGCAGCCCCUCCUGUCUUGGCGUCCAGAGGAGGCUCUUACUCGCCAGAUAUAGAGAAGAGGGAGAAAGCCAGCAAGACGUUCGGGUGUGGGAGGGAAGCAGUAUAAAUGCAGGGACUGUAGAAGGAUGGUGAAUCUGACUGGCGAGACGCAAAAGUGAGUGAGUGAGUGAGUGAAAAGGAAGCAGCCAUACUGGGAAGGUGCGGUCAGGCCGGUAGGAGAAGAGAAACAGAUAAGAAAGAAAGAGAAGGGGAGAGGCUGGCAGAGAGGAAGCGGAAAAAACGAAGGUGAGGCAAAGGGAGAGACAAACGUGCUGGAGGAGAGAAAGGUGUGAGACCCUGAAGUGGUGAAUUCUUUUCCCUGGCCCAGCCCUUCCAGAGGCCCGGGUCCAUCUAGAGACCUGCUGAGAAGAGGCCACACUGGCCUGUUUUGCUCCCAACAAUUUUAUUCUGCCAGGGAAUUCCCUAAAACUUAAGGAUCCUGGAGCUCUAAGGAACCCUAGAGAACACCUAGUGCCGCUCCUUCCUUCAGCCAUGAGGAAAGUUGGGAUGGGAAGAUUGUUCAUGCUGGUUUUCUCUGGGAAUGAGACCUCGGGACAGUUUUGGCAGUUCCUACUAGGAACACAAACUAAAUAAACCAGGCCCUCUGUGGAAAGGAUAACACUUCUAGAAACUUCUGAAUAGAUCAUUCUAUCUGACAAACAUUUACGAACUGCACACAAUUACCAAACAUUAGGCUAGAUGGCAGUAAGAUAAGGAUUAGAAGGAGAAAAUCUUUGGCUUCUUGAAGUUUAUUAAUAAGUGGGUGAAAUGGGUCAUAAUUUUGAUGUAUGGUGGUGGUGGCAGUGAUAAGGUAGAGAUUUGCCCAGAGUGCUGUAGAAGCCAGCAGCUGGGAGAUCCAGGAAUGCUUCUUGGAGGAAGUAACCCUUGAGGUGGCGAGGGUUUUCCAAGAAGGGAGAGGAUAGCAUGAGCAAAAGCUUAGAGAUAUUAAUAAUUGUGGACUGAUAAUCAUGGCCUUGUGCGCAUGCCUUGUCAUGCCAAUCCGUUAGGGAAAAUGUGAUACAUAUACACCAUGGAAUAUUAUGCAGCUAUCAAAAACACUGAGUUCAUGCCCUUUGUAGGGACAUGGAUGAAUCUGGAGAACAUUAUUCUCAGCAAACUGACACAAGAACAGAAAAUGAAAUACCGCAUGUUCUCACUCAUAGGCGGGUGAUGAAUGGUGAGAACACAUGGACACAGGGAGGGGAGCACUACACACUGGGGUCUAUUGGGGGGAAUAGGGGAGGGACAGUGUGGGGCGGGGGGAGCUGGGUAGGGAUAGCAUGGGGAGAAAUGCCAGAUGAGGGUGAAGGGGAGGAAGGCAGCAAAUCACACUGCCACGUGUGUACCUAUGCAACUAUCUUGCAUGUUCUGCACAUGUACCCCAAAACCUAAAAUGCAAUUAAAAAAAAAAAAAAGAUUUCGAGCCUUUUGUGCUCGCCUCUCCCUCCAGGACCUAUUGCGCGUGCCGCUCCCUACCCCUCCCCUAACCCGCAGUUGCCAGUAGCUACCUUGUGCCAGUACCUUGCCGCGCCAAUCCGUUAAGGUCCCAGGUCCUUAGUGCGUGAGCCUCUCCCUACAGUACCCCUUGCGCGCGCCGCCCCUUCCGUUGCCAUCAGGUGCCUUAUUGCGCGAACCUUGCCGGCUAAACCGUUAACGGCUGGCGUCCUUUGUGCGCCCACCUCUCCUUCCGGUACCUAUCAGGCGCCCCUUCUACCCCGCGCCCUCCCCCGCAGCCACUGCUCGCAGGUGCCUCAAGAGCAUAUUUUGCUCCCCACCCCCCACCCCACUUCGCAUUGCCAGCGGGUGCCUGGCGCGCAUACCUUGUCGCGGGAAUCCCAUAAGGUCACUCUUCUGGUGCGGAUCCGUCACUCUCGCCGGUCUUUGUAUGCGCCUCACUCGCUCAGGUUUGAAUGAUGCGUUUCCUGGCAACAGGAGAAUGCUCCCUUAGCCUUUGGCCGAGUUGGCAGCAGACAGGAGGACGCUCAGAGCCCAGCUCUAGAGAGCUCAAGAAUCCGAAAAUACCCCACUGCUCCCAGGAGCGGUUACCUGGGCACUCCGUACACUUUAUCCCUGUCCCAGUUCCGUCCCAGGGCCGAGGACCCGCCAGUAGGACUCAGUUGCCUUGAGCCUGCUGCCCGCAUCCCUCACUUCACUUUGCUUGUGGGGUCUCUCUGUUGCUCCCGCCCCUGGACGGAGUGGCAAGCCUUCCUACAAGUACCCAGGCACUUGGAAUCAGCCUGGUGUAGAAACAACUUCAAGGAUUUCUGUAUCCUACAAGCCCUGCGCUCCGACCGGGGAUCCUGGUUUCAAUUUGAGGCACAGGUAUGGCAGCAAGCCAGUGC